UGAGUAAGCCAGACGACCGCGGGCAUAAGGCGCAAAGCCUUAUGAAUGAGGAAAGUCCGAGCUCCACAGGGCAAGGGUGCCGGGUAACUCCCGGUGGAGGCGACUCCAAGGAAAGUGCAACAGAAAUAAACCGCCUAAAGCGCGCGCUUUAGGUAAGGGUGGAAAGGUGAGGUAAGAGCUCACCGACAUUUAGGCGACUAAAUGUGCCAUGUAAACCCCACCCGGAGCAACACCGAGGCUGCCGCAAGGCAGUGGGGAGAGUUAAGUCGGCCCGACGUUUUCCCGAUUAGGUGGCUUGAGCGGUGCAGAAAUGUACCGCCUAGAUAGAUGGUCGUCCAAGACAGAACUCGGCUUACAGGCUUGCUCACGCA
rnacentral:RNase_P_RNA from 1 species